UACGUAGGGCGCAAGCGUUGUCCGGAAUUAUUGGGCGUAAAGAGCUCGUAGGCGGCUUGUCGCGUCUGCGGUGAAAGCCCGGGGCUUAACUCCGGGUGUGCAGUGGGUACGGGCAGGCUAGAGUGCAGUAGGGGUAACUGGAAUUCCUGGUGUAGCGGUGAAAUGCGCAGAUAUCAGGAGGAACACCGAUGGCGAAGGCAGGUUACUGGGCUGUUACUGACGCUGAGGAGCGAAAGCAUGGGGAGCGAACAGG
rnacentral:rRNA from 1 species